UCUUAUGUACAUGCCUAUGACAUAGCGUUAAUGCAUCGGAUCCCAUUAGAACUCUGUAAUUAAGAGCGCUUGGGAUAGAGUAGUAUUGGGAUGGGUGACUGCCUGAGAAGACCUAGUAUUUUACAUGCC
rfam:Picea glauca, whole genome shotgun sequence.